GGCAGCGUGGCUCAGUGGAAAGAGCCCGGGCUUGGGAGUCAGAGGUCAUGGGUUCGAAUCCCGGGCUCUGCCA
rfam:Ornithorhynchus anatinus chromosome 2, whole genome shotgun sequence.